GACGAACGCUGGCGGCGUGCUUAACACAUGCAAGUCGAACGGAAAGGCCCUGCUUUUGUGGGGUGCUCGAGUGGCGAACGGGUGAGUAACACGUGAGUAACCUGCCCUUGACUUUGGGAUAACUUCAGGAAACUGGGGCUAAUACCGGAUAGGAGCUCCUGCUGCAUGGUGGGGGUUGGAAAGUUUCGGCGGUUGGGGAUGGACUCGCGGCUUAUCAGCUUGUUGGUGGGGUAGUGGCUUACCAAGGCUUUGACGGGUAGCCGGCCUGAGAGGGUGACCGGCCACAUUGGGACUGAGAUACCGCCCAGACUCCUACGGGAGGCAGCUGUGUGGAAUAUUGCACAAUGGGCGGAAGCCUGAUGCAGCAACGCCGCGUGCGGGAUGACGGCCUUCGGGUUGUAAACCGCUUUCGCCUGUGACGAAGCGUGAGUGACGGUAAUGGGUAAAGAAGCACCGGCUAACUACGUG
rnacentral:rRNA from 1 species